UGUGUUUCGAUUUGUGUGCUGUCGCGUGAAAAAAAUUCGUUGACAGCCGUGAAAAUCUUCAAAAAUGUGCAAGUUUAUACGCAAAAAGUCUGGCUGAAAUAAGAUAUGAAAAAGUGCGGUUCUGUGUUAUAUUUAAAGUGUUCCAAAACAGAAAAACUUGCUGAGAAGUUGAGCUUUACAGCUGUUGCAAGAUAAUUAAGCAAUUGUCUAGAGAAAUAUUGUUAUAAAUGAAACGGAACUAUAUAUAUAAAUAUGGACGAGCUUAUUCCUGGAAUUUAAAUAUACUACAUAAAGCGGAA